rnacentral:rRNA from 1 species
UACGUAGGUGGCAAGCGUUGUCCGGAAUUAUUAGGCGUAAAGCGCGCGCAGGCGGUCCUUUAAGUCUGAUGUGAAAGCCCACGGCUCAACCGUGGAGGGUCAUUGGAAACUGGGGGACUUGAGUGCAGGAGAGAAGAGUGGAAUUCCACGUGUAGCGGUGAAAUGCGUAGAGAUGUGGAGGAACACCAGUGGCGAAGGCGACUCUUUGGCCUGUAACCGACGCUGAGGCGCGAAAGCGUGGGGAGCAAACAGG